AGUCGUAACAAGGUCUCCGUAGGUGAACCUGCGGAGGGAUCAUUACACAAAUAUGAAGGCGGGCUGGAACCUCUCGGGGUUACAGCCUUGCUGAAUUAUUCACCCUUGUCUUUUGCGUACUUCUUGUUUCCCUGGUGGGUUCGCCCACCACUAGGACAAACAUAAACCUUUUGUAAUUGCAAUCAGCGUCAGUAACAAAUUAAUAAUUACAACUUUCAACAACGGAUCUCUUGGUUCUGGCAUCGAUGAAGAACGCAGCGAAAUGCGAUAAGUAGUGUGAAUUGCAGAAUUCAGUGAAUCAUCGAAUCUUUGAACGCACAUUGCGCCCUUUGGUAUUCCAAAGGGCAUGCCUGUUCGAGCGUCAUUUGUACCCUCAAGCUUUGCUUGGUGUUGGGCGUCUUGUCUCUAGCUUUGCUGGAGACUCGCCUUAAAGUAAUUGGCAGCCGGCCUACUGGUUUCGGAGCGCAGCACAAGUCGCACUCUCUAUCAGCAAAGGUCUAGCAUCCAUUAAGCCUUUUUUUUCAACUUUUGACCUCGGAUCAGGUAGGGAUACCCGCUGAACUUAAGCAUAUCAAUAGUCG
rnacentral:rRNA from 1 species